CCCUCGUUCAAAGAAUCGCAUUCGAAGCAAUCAAACAGACAGUUCCUCUUGGAAUCGUCGGCUCUCACAAGCCAAAUUCGCUUUGGGAGAAAGUCCCCGGACAUCCUUUACAAGGCCUGCGGAAACGCGUCGCCAUAGAAGCAAUUGCGACCAACUCUAACUCUAUCUGAUCAAUGCCGUCCAACCUUUUUCGUUGCUCACCUUUCUUCUGCUAACUCCAUGCACUAUUUAACAGAAGCGAGCAGGCCCCUUGGACGAAGAUACGAGUCCGAACCGCCCGUGAACAUUGAAUGAUGGCCUGGACACAGCAGCAGCUUGGGACGAUAAUAAGUGUAGGACGGUACUGUGACGUAUAUAGACUUGGAGACAUUUCGUCGAGAUUCACAGUUAUGCGAUUGCUCGUCUACUGCGAGAGCAGCCUGACGAGUAACUCGAUGGGGCUUAUUCUUGAGACGAGG
rnacentral:RNase_MRP_RNA from 2 species